GGCGCCUGAGCCAGUCAAUGGGUGCCUUCUUUCUGUUAAAUUCUGUUAAGUCUCUGGUUUUUGUUAUGCCAGGUUAAAAUUAAAGGUAUAAAAACGGGCUGAUUUUUACAACAGUGAUCUCCUUCGGAUGUUCCCUACUGCUACAAAUAUGUUGUCUUCAAAGUUAAUAAACAAAACACAAUGUUUCAAAUGCAUACAAAAAUCUGACAUUUAUGCAUCUUAUUUAAAAAAAGUCAUACUUGUAGACUGAAUAGUAACAUUCCUUUCUUUGUUAAAUACUGACACAUCCUCAGAAACACAGAACAACAGCUGACUUACCGACCUGUGUUUUGUGGUUUUGUGAAGUCCAAGGAGGCUCUAUCAAUAGCCAGUCUCCUGUGUGGCAAACACUCUGAGGAUAAGUAAUUAAGGCACUUUGUCCUUGUGAACAGCUCACAAUUUAGAUGCCAUAUGAAAUUGAUGGAAGACAGAGGCAGACUGUUCCACAGAUUGAAAAUGUCCAAACCCUAUAUCUGUUCUGUAAUCACGUCAUUUCCACCAAGUGGGAAGCAAUCUCCAGGGCAAAACGUACAAGAUGCCUGGAAGCAGCAUGUGAAGGUAGAAAGAGUCUUGGAGUACAGCUGCUAACUGAAAGUGCAUGAGGGUGUGGGGAGAACAGCUGGAAGCUCAAGAAGAAACAGGG